UAGGAAUCUUCCACAAUGGGCGAAAGCCUGAUGGAGCGACGCCGCGUGAGGGAUGAAGGCCUUAGGGUUGUAAACCUCUAAAAGAGGGACGAUAAUGACGGUACCUCUUGAAUAGCACCGGCUAACUCCGUGCCAGCAGCCGCGGUAAUACGGAGGGUGCAAGCGUUAUCCGGAAUCACUGGGCGUAAAGGGCGCGUAGGCGGUCUGUUAAGUCCGAUGUUAAAUCCCGGGGCUCAACCCCGGAUAAGCGUUGGAUACUGGCAGGCUAGACGGUUGGAGAGNCGAGUGGAAUUACCAGUGUAGCGGUGGAAUGCGUAGAUACUGGUAGGAACACCCAUUGCGAAGGCAGCUCGCUGGACAACACGUGACGCUGAGGCGCGAAAGUGUGGGGAGCAAACC
rnacentral:rRNA from 1 species